rnacentral:lncRNA from 1 species
UGAGACGAGGGCUUCUGACUCGGCUACUACACCUUGUUCUUUCCUCCUUGCUUCUUCAUUGAACAUGCUAUCUUUAACUAUGUCCAAUGUAAGAACGCCUUGAGGAGCUGAAUUGCUUAAGGAUACUACUAGUGUAUCCCAGCUAUCAGGCAAAGAGCUGAGUAACACCAGUGCUUGUAACUCAUCAUCAAGCACCAUCUUCAUAUUCGUCAACAGGUUGAUCAAACCUUGGAAGUCACUGAGAUGCUCGGUAACACUUCGACCAUCUCUGUACUUAAGGUUUACCAACCGUCGGAUAACCGAUGCUUUAUUUUGAGCGGUCUUCCGCUCGUACAUGGACGACAAUUUUGUCCAUAAUUUGUAUGCAUCCGUCUCUUGUGACACAUGGUGGAACACACUUUGAUCCACCCAUUGUCGGAUUUGUCCGACAACUUUUCUAUUCAGAAUGCUCCACGCAUCGUCUGACUUCCCUGCUGGUUUUUGUCCCAGCAAUUGAAGGGGCUCAUACAAAUCCUUGCAGUAAAGGAUGUCCUCCAUUCUUGGAUUCCAAAUGGAGUAAUUGGAUGCAGUCAAUUUUAACAUUGUUGCUGAUGAUGAUGACGAUGACUCCUCCAUCUUAAAUUACACAAGAAUAUAAUUUUUGAGCCGAAGCUCUGAUACCACUUGUUGGGAAAGAUUGCGAAAAAUCAAAGAGCCAAUAAAUAAAUAUGGCACUCUCAGGAUCUGACUUCUCCCAGCCUUGUGUAAAUAAAAUGGACAAAAUUAAC